rnacentral:lncRNA from 1 species
UAAUAGUUACGUAGGUUUGGACUUAGAUACUACAAAAAAUAAGCUGGACUUUAUUCUGUAUUUACUCUAUACAAAAAUAUUUCAACAAUUUCAUAUCAGUAGCUCAUUUUCUUACAAUAAUCUCAAAUUUAGAAAGAAAUAACCAUGAAUAUUCGUAGAAAAUGCUUUAAGCGCGAUUUAAUACAUCAUUGUGAUUGUGUACACGUUCGCGUGGCAUAAUUACGAUUUUAAAAAUAAAAUCAGAGUACGCGUUCGCGCAAAUUUGAUUAAACGUUCUAAAGCAUUAUUAAUUGUGAACACGUACGCGUGACAGGAUUUUUGACACGCCAAAUAAAUGGGUACACGUACGCGUGACCCGUUUCAAGAUAAUUUCUUAAUUAAAAGAGGCAAAUGCACAUAAGUUCUAAAAUGAGUAAUUAGACAAUUUGAUUAAGCCAAGUAUGAUCAAAGGUACCCGGGAAUGCCUAACACCUUCUUCCGGGUUAGCAGAAUUUCUUACCCGGAUUUCUGUGUUCGUAGACCAUAAAUAAGAGUCAAACUUCCUCGAUUCGGGGUUUUAAACCAGUGACUUGGGACACCAUAAAUUAUUCCAACUAACGACUCUGAAUUUGAAUAAAAAAUCCCGUUUUGAUUUUAGUCACUUUAAUUGGAAAAACUCCCUUAAUACCCAUCUCGAGAUAGUAAAAGGAGGUGUGACAGCUCUGGCGACUAUGCUGGGGACAAGAACCCAUAAUCUCUGGUUCAGGGUUCAAGAAUUCGAGCUCUUUAGUAUGAUUUUAUUUGGCUUUGUUUAUUGUUAAUAUUACUGUAUUUUUGCGAACUUAAUGUGCUAAUUGUUGUUUAUUUACCAUUUCGAUAUUGUUUGAAUCGUAUAUAACUGUCUUCUUACGCCACCCCUCUGAGUCUCCUGAAAAUGGGGCACACGUUCGCGUGGCCCGCUUUUUCUGUAGAAGUAAUACCAAAUAAAAUAAGGUUGGGCCAGCAACAAGGCCGAGUAGACUUUAGUGCUCCCAGCACGUUGCCCCCUUUUCGGCUCGAGUUGUCCACUCGGGUAAGCCAGGUCAAGAACACAACCCCAAGUUUAAACUUAGAAUAACAUAACCUCAUGCCGGAUCCCUAGUCGGAACGUUUGUUUGCAUCACGUGCAUUUGAAUUUGGGGACUCAACACAGGGGUUGGGUCCAUCUAGGACAGGUGUACCCGAAAAAAUAAAAGACCAUCCUGAUGCAUCCUAUGUGCUAAAUGUUCCAUUUUUCAAGGGUAAAAAAAGGUCAUUUAGCGGACCAAUGAUAGUGGAGAGUAAAUGAGAAAAAAGAGGGUGAAGUAUGAAAAUAAACCAAGUAGGGCCCAGUCAUAUUUUCUUUCAAAACUUUUUUAAGAAAAGACAAAAAAUGAAAAAUCCAAAAAAAAAUUUGCACUUUCCCAUCAUUUUCCGGAAAAAAAAUAUUAAAAAAAGAGGAAAAAGAAAAUCCAAAAAGAGUUUACAUGUUUCAUCAUUUUUCAAAACAAAGACAAACAAAAUAUAUUCUCUAAAUUAGUUAUUUUUUUUAAUUCUCGCCCGUAUCCGAUUUUUUCGAACUACGCGAAUCUGAUUCUGGUCUCUCGGGGAGGGAUACGUAGGCAACUCACAUAGGGUCCGGUCUUCUUAGUGAGUCUUAGGUUCUUUGCUUCGAGGAUCGUAGCCAAAUAUUGCAUCUCUAUCCACUUUUGGCUACAUUGGCCGUUUUUGCAAAAUAUGACUAUUUUCGCAAAGUGGUUUGUUUAAUUGUCUAAUGAGUCUUGAAUCCACAAUUAGGUGUCUCUUUACUUUAAGUCCCAUCCUUAUCGAAUUUGCAUGUCUAGCCGCUUUUGGCCAUAUCGGCCGUUCUUGCAAAAUGGGAUCAUUUUCGCAAAAGUGGUUCAGUGACCCAUGUUUUUGAGUUAUAUGUCCAUAAUAAGAUGCUCUCUCUGUUUAAGGUCCAUUGUGUUGAAUUUGCAUGUUUGCCAUUUUUGUCCACAUAGACCAUUUCUAUAAAAUUGGUCAUUUCUGCAAAGUAAUUUUCCAUAUCUAAGAGGUCACUUUUGUCAAGUUUGCACUUCUAGCCACCUUUUUGCCACAUAAGCCCUUUUGCAAAAUAGCCUCAAUCAUGUCCUGCAUGUGUCCAGUAGGGAGUGUUAUUGUCUCAUAUAGUGUUCUAAAUCUUUAACUCCAUUUGGUUUUAGUUUUCUCAUAGAGGUGUGGAUCUACUCACCGGAUUAUGAGCAUGACAGACAUCCGGGGGGCAUCUGGUCAGGACUAUUGCAUCCAGGAGUUGUUUAAGGAGAUUUUUUAUGUUUUGAGUCUGUUUCUUUUUAUGUUGUCUUGUACUUUAUAGUCAUGUCCAGUAGUAAUGAUUCUUUUAGUUGGUGUUGGAGUUUGUCGUAGUAUAGUUGAGUUGAGUCUCUCGUUAUCAUAUUUCCUGUUUUGUAUUCGAAAAUAAAAAAAGGUUGUAAUGAGUAAUCAAAAAAGGUUUUUAUUUUUAGUUUAAUUUAUCCGUUACUUUUUUCGAACUAUGCAAAGAUCUGAUUCAUGCGUGAUUUUAAAUUGGUGACUUGGGACAUCAUAAAUUAUCCCAAGUGGCGACUCUGAAUUUGAAUAAAAAAUCUUAUUUUGAUUUUAGUCACUUUAAUUGGAAAAACUCCCUUAAUACCCAUCUCGAGGUAGUAAAAGGAGGUGUAACAGCUCUGGCGACCCUACUGGGGACAAGAACCCAGAAUCCUGGUUCAUGGUUCAAGAAUUCGAGCUUUUUAGUAUGAUUUUAUUUGGCUUUGUUUAUUGUUAAUAUUACUGUAUUUUUGUGAACCUAAUGUGUUAAUUGCUGUUUAUUUACCAUUUCGAUAUUGUUUGAAUUGUAUAUAACUAUCUUCUUACGUCACCCUUUUGAGUCUCCUGAAAAUGAUGCACAUGUUCGCGUGGCCCGCUUUUUCUGUAGAAGACAUACCAAAUAGAACGAGGCUGGGCCAACAACAAGACCGGGUAGAAUUUAGUGCUCCCAGUACGGUGCCCCCUCUUCGGUUCGAGUUGUCCACUCGGAUAAGCCAGGUCAAGAACACAACCCCAGGUUUAAAAUUAGAAUAACAUAACCUUAUGUCGGAUCCCUAAUAGGAACGUUUGUUUGCAUCACGUGCAUUUGACUUUGGGGACUCAACACAGGGGUUGGGUCCGUCUAGGACAGGUGUACCCGAAAAAAUAAAAGACCAUCCUGA